rnacentral:rRNA from 1 species
UACGGGGGGGGCAAGCGUUGUUCGGAAUUACUGGGCGUAAAGGGCGCGUAGGCGGCUUUGCAAGUGACGGGUGAAAUCCCACGGCUUAACCGUGGAACUGCCUGUCAGACUGCAUGGCUUGAGACCAGGAGAGGUGAGUGGAAUUCCCAGUGUAGCGGUGAAAUGCGUAGAUAUUGGGAGGAACACCAGUGGCGAAGGCGGCUCACUGGACUGGUACUGACGCUGAGGCGCGAAAGCGUGGGGAGCAAACAGG